UACGUAGGGGGCAAGCGUUGUCCGGAUUUAUUGGGCGUAAAGCGCGUGUAGGCGGCCAGGUAGGUCCGUUGUGAAAACUCGAGGCUCAACCUCGAGACGCCGAUGGAAACCAUCUAACUAGAGUCCGGAAGAGGAGAAUGGAAUUCCUGGUGUAGCGGUGAAAUGCGCAGAUAUCAGGAAGAACACCAAUGGCGAAGGCAGCUCUCUGGGACGGUACUGACACUGAGACGCGAAAGCGUGGGGAGCGAACAGG
rnacentral:rRNA from 1 species